GUCAUUCAUUCUAAAACUACUCUAGCCCUAGCUCUUAACCUUUUGGGCUGUCCAAAAUAUUACAGUCGGAUUAAAAGAUUUAGUUUUAUUAUACUUGAUAUAUAAGAUUAUUCUAAAUUUUGAAACGUCACAUUCUUUUAUCCUUUAAACCUUGACGUCUUCACGAGGCUCAAACACACUCAAAAGCUCCAAACAAUAUAAGACUCGUCUCGCUAGCUUCAGUCGAUCUUGUGGGAAGCAGCACGCCAUCCACAAUGAUCGUCAACCAAGAAGCCACGCUUUGUCUAGCUGUAACCUUGGCUAAGACGAGAUUCAUAUCACACUUCCGAUUGAUUGUCGACUAUAAUACCAACUGUAAUGUCCCACUUUCUAGAGAAAUUAUCUAUCCUAGAACUGCUUAAACUCUAGUCGGGCUAAAAGGUUUAGUAUUAUUAGAGUUAUAUAUAAGAUUAUUCCAAAUCCUAGAGUGUAAUAUAUCAACACAUGAUUUUUAUUAGGGAUAAUUACCUAUAUACCCCCUCAAAACUUUGAAAAUAUUUAAUUUUAUCUUUUUUUUUCUGUUUCUAAUAUACCCCUCAUAUAUUCUUCUGUUAUUCAAAAAUACCCCUGCAAUUACCACCCAUUAAAUUAUCUCGGAUUAAACAUAAGUUAAAUAUCUACCAGAAUUAAAAAAAUAAAAAUACUUCUUUUGCCCUUAACUAGGGACAAAUAAAAAAAAUUGGUGAUGGCAGAAUGAUAUAUUUAAAAAGACAAAAAAAAUAAAAUAUUUCUUUUGCUCCUAACUUCAGAACAAAUAAGAAAAAUUGAUAAUGAUAGGAGAAUAUAUUUGAAAAAGCAAAAUAGUAAUUUCACAAAGAUAACGACUAUUGUUAACAGUUCAAUAACAGAAUUAACUCUAAGAGUUUAUUUGAAAUAACUUGAAACGUUAAAAAGAUAUUUUUAACAGAGAGAUAAAUCAGAAAGUCGAAAACUUUUCAAAAAAAUAUAAGCAAUUUGCCCUUUUAUUAAAUAGCU
rnacentral:lncRNA from 1 species